rnacentral:rRNA from 1 species
ACGGAAGGCAGCAGUGGGGAAUAUUGGGCAAUGGGGGAAACCCUGACCCAGCAACGCCGCGUGAAGGAAGAAGGCUUUCGGGUUGUAAACUUCUUUUACCAGGGACGAAGGACGUGACGGUACCUGGAGAAAAAGCCACGGCUAACUACGUGCCAGCAGCCGCGGUAAUACGUAGGUGGCAGGCGUUGUCCGGAUUUACUGGGUGUAAAGGGCGUGUAGGCGGAGAUGCAAGUCAGAAGUGAAAUCUCCGGGCUUAACCCGGAACCUGCUUUUGAAACUGUAUCCCUUGAGUAUCGGAGAGGCAGGCGGAAUUCCUAGUGUAGCGGUGAAAUGCGUAGAUAUUAGGAGGAACACCAGUGGCGAAGGCGGCCUGCUGGACGACAACUGACGCUGAGGCUCGAAAGCGUGGGGAGCAAACAG